GAUGAACGCUGGCGGCGUGCCUAAUACAUGCAAGUCGAACGAAACUUCUUUAUCACCGAGUGCUUGCACUCACCGAUAAAGAGUUGAGUGGCGAACGGGUGAGUAACACGUGGGCAACCUGCCCAAAAGAGGGGGAUAACACUUGGAAACAGGUGCUAAUACCGCAUAACCAUAGUUACCGCAUGGUACCUAUGUAAAAGGUGGCUAUACUACCGCCUUUGGAUGGGCCCGCGGCGCAUUAGCUAGUUGGUAGGGUAAAGGCUUACCAGGGCAAUGAUGCGUAGCCGAAUUGAGAGGUUGAUCGGCCACAUUGGGACUGAGACACGGCCCAAACUCCUACGGGAGGCAGCAGUAGGGAAUCUUCCACAAUGGGCGAAAGCCUGAUGGAGCAACGCCGCGUGGGUGAAGAAGGUCUUCGGAUCGUAAAACCCUGUUGUUAGAGAAGAAAGUGCGUGAGAGUAACUGUUCACGUUUCGACGGUAUCUAACCAGAAAGCCACGGCUAACUACGUG
rnacentral:rRNA from 1 species